AUUGAACGCUGGCGGCAGGCUUAACACAUGCAAGUCGAGCGGGGGAGGUUGCUUCGGUAACUGACCCAGCGGCGGACGGGUGAGUAAUGCUUAGGAAUCUGCCUAUUAGUGGGGGACAACAUUCCGAAAGGAAUGCUAAUACCGCAUACGUCCUACGGGGGAAAGCAGGGGAUCUUCGGACCUUGCGCUAAUAGAUGAGCCUAAGUCGGAUUAGCUAGUUGGUGGGGUAAAGGCCUACCAAGGCGACGAUCUGUAGCGGGUCUGAGAGGAUGAUCCGCCACACUGGGACUGAGACACGGCCCAGACUCCUACGGGAGGCAGCAGUGGGGAAUAUUGGACAAUGGGGGGAACCCUGAUCCAGCCAUGCCGCGUGUGUGAAGAAGGCCUUUUGGUUGUAAAGCACUUUAAGCGAGGAGGAGGCUCCUUUAGUUAAUACCUAAAGAGAGUGGACGUUACUCGCAGAAUAAGCACCGGCUAACUCUGUGCCAGCCGCCGCGGUAAUAC
rnacentral:rRNA from 1 species